rnacentral:rRNA from 1 species
UGGGGAAUAUUGCACAAUGGGCGCAAGCCUGAUGCAGCGACGCCGCGUGGGGGAUGACGGCCUUCGGGUUGUAAACUCCUUUCGCUAGGGACGAAGCUUUUUGUGACGGUACCUAGAUAAGAAGCACCGGCUAACUACGUGCCAGCAGCCGCGGUAAUACGCAGGGUGCGAGCGUUGUCCGGAAUUACUGGGCGUAAAGGGCUCGUAGGUGGUUUGUCGCGUCGUCUGUGAAAUUCCGGGGCUUAACUCCGGGCGUGCAGGCGAUACGGGCAUAACUUGAGUACUGUAGGGGUAACUGGAAGUCCUGGUGUAGCGGUGAAAUGCGCAGAUAUCAGGAGGAACACCGAUGGCGAAGGCAGGUUACUGCGCAGUUACUGACGCUGAGGAGCGAAAGCAUGGGUAGCGAACAGG